rnacentral:lncRNA from 1 species
AAUGUGAAAGAAUAUAUAAACACUUGUGAUUCAUCAUUAUUCCUCUACGAGUAGAUAAUGGUUAUACUUUAUCGUUUAGAUUUUUAAAAUCCUCCCAAACCCUCAUGAAUAAUGUUUUUUAUUUGAAGGCAAAAUUAAUAAAAUUAAUAAUAAUUAUUGUAGAAGUCUAAAAAAUGUAAAAAAAAAUCCAAUCAGUCAUAAUGACAAGCUUUACAACUUUCAUGAAGGGGUCAGCUUCGAAAUCCAACAGUGUAAUCCAUAAACCUUCAAUUUAUAUUUAACCGUCGAUUAUCAUUUACGCUUUAUUCUUGUUACUGAAUUUCAUUUUUUAAAUUUUCAUUUUUUAAAACAUGAUCAUCUGGUGGAUGUGAGAAGAUGAACGGUUCAGAUCUUUGAUAUCACGUUUCGAUAUUUACGGUUAAUUGAAAUAUGAGUCGAUGUCAUAUAGUUUGUAUAAACUUUAUAAACAUCAAGCAAUAUUUUCACUAAUCGUAAAACUCUGAACAUAAUAUCAACAAUCCAAACCAUUCAUCUUCUUGCAUCCUCUAAUAGAUCAUGUUUUCAAAAAAGAAAAUCUGAAAAAACAAAAUUUGAUGAGAAAAAUAAAGCGUAAAUGUAAACAAUAAUCAACGGUUAAAUUUUGAUCUAUGAUUUAUAUGAUUAUAGUGGCGAAUUUCGAAGUUAAGUUCUUCACGAAAGUUGUAAAGCUUGUUAUUACGAGCUUUAUAUAUUUUUUUCUAUAUUUUUUAUACUUCUACAUUAAUUAAAAAACUAUUAAAGACUUUACUUAAAUAACAGUGGUUAGAUCAAUGAGAUUAAAUCUGUAUCGUUGGAUUCUAUUUCAAUUAUAUUAUUACAAUUUUUUUGGACAAAAAAACCCCUCAUAUUUUCCAUUGUUUUCCAUAUGAGUCCUGACUGAUUUGAUCAAAACAAAAAAACCCCACUGCCUAGCCCUAAAUUCUUUCUGUCUAUUCUCUCCCCACUCCCAGCCGUAACCCUCUCUCCCAACCCGUCUGAGGCGUCGUUUGUUCUUCCUAGCCCCUCUCUCCCGCCGUCUUUCUUCCAAAAUUCCGACAGCCAUGAUCUUCUCGUCUUCCAUUCUACGACAUCUUCCUAUGUAAGUAUUUCUCCCUCUUCAACCUUUCUCUCUUUUCACUCUUUCUACACUCAUAUUUCCCAUUUCUGACCACGAACGAUUGACACAGCUUCUUGCGUUGGAUUCCUCUCUUCCUCUUGUUGAUCUCUUCAGUGUUACAUUGUCCAGGUAAGAAAUUCGAUGUCAUCAUCUAUUGUUGUUUUUUUUUAUGAAUCGGGAUUGGACACCCAAUUUUUCCCUCGCUUUGAACACCCAGUUUUGAUAUGCGUUCAUGUCCGAUUACACUUGGUACAAUUUUGAUUGUUUUGUUUUCAAUUGUGCAUUAAACAUCUAAAACCUAAAACUUGGAUAACACUCACCCAUGUUACAACUCCCAUUCGACACUUUUGCUGAUCUGUGUAUCUCAAUUUUUUUUUUUAAAUUGAUGCUUUAAUGACUUUACGAAUAAUAAUUUUAUGCUUGAAAAUUUGGAAUGAGUUGUUUUUUAUGAGUAUUAGCAGUGAUUUUCACAUGCACUUUGUUUUCUCCUUUUAUACUCAUUUUUUGGGCUUCUUGAUAUCUAAAUGCUAGAGAAUACAAGCGAGUGCAAAGAAGAAAAUAAAAGUUCGAAAAUCUCUUUUUAUUUGUAUAUGUAUUGAGCUAAUUGUGAGUAAGGAUAACAAUAUUUGAAUGAAAUCUGGUGUGUGUGUGUGUGUGUGUGUGUGUGUGUGUGUGUGUGUGCUGUCUGUGUGUGCGAUGUGUGUCUGUGCUCUGUGUGUGUGUGUGUGUAUGUGCUCUGUGUGUGUGUUCUGUGUGCUGUGUGUGUCUGUGUCUAUUCUUCCACAACCUUUGAAACGCGCCUUUAUAUGAAUUAGUUUUUUUUUUCAUAUCUAGCUAACAUCUAAACUAUUAGAUCAUGUUGUGUGUGUGUGUCUAUGUGUGUGUGUACUGCAAGUCUGCAACCCAGUGUGUGUGCUAUUAGUGCUUGACAGACCUGCAGUCAUGCAUAAAACCAAGGCAAAGAAGCCGUGUUCUCUCAUCGGAUUCUACAUUAUCAAGUCUAUGUGUGUGUGUGUGUGUGUGUGUGUGUGUGUGUGUGUGUGUGUGUUGUGUGUGUGUGCGUUGUGUGUGUGUGUGUAUGUGCACUGUGUGUGUGUUGUGUGUGUCUGUGUCUAUUCUUCCACAACCUUUUGAAACACUCUUUUAUAUGAAUUAGUUUUUUUUUUCAUAUCUAGCUAACAUCUAAACUACUAGAUCAUGUUGUGUGUGUAUGUGUGUGUGUGUGUGUGUACUGCAAGUCUGCAACCCAGUGUGUGUGCUAUUAGUGCUUGACAGACCCGCAGCCAUGCAUAAAACCAAGGCAAAGAAGCUGUGUUCUCUCUCGGAUUCUCUCAUUAUCAAGUCUAUAUAUCUAAUUAUCAUCUAUGCAUUAUUAAUUUGCAAACUAUUUACUUUGGGAAAUAUUUUCGCCACUUUCUCUCCAUGCAUUCUUCUUGCUUUUUCCAGUCUUAGAACUGAUAAAAAAGAGAAAUAAAUGCAGAAUGAAAAGAACGAAGUGUGAAAAUUACUACCUUUUCGUAUAUCAUUUAAACGUCAUUUUAUAUUUUCAAUCUUGAAACGGACCUACAUGUUUUUAGGUUGAACAAUAUAUUAAAAAUAGUAUUAUUUUCUUGACAAUUUCUUGUAGGUUCAUAUGUAAAUUAUAUUCUUUACAGCUAGCUCACUGCUGUGUGUGUGUGCGUCUGUUGUGUGUGUGUGUGCUGUGUGCUGCUGUGUGCAGUCAUUGCUGUGUGUGUGUGUGUGUGUGUGUGUACUACAAGUCUGCAACCCACUAGUAAUAUCCUACUAGUUUAAAAAGCUAUUAAUUAAUUUAUACCCAUUUUGAUUUAGAAGCAAUGGAUGCUAGAGAUUCAGAUUCAGUAA